rfam:Eubacteriaceae bacterium CHKCI005 isolate CHKC5 genome assembly, contig: {contig46}
AAAAAAGCUGUUUAAGUUCUAAAGACAGCAGGUGCGCAAUGCUUAAUGGUUUGAUAACCAGCCUGCCGAGGAAUGGAGCAUCAGAAAAGACGGUUUUUGCCGUUUCAUUUUGCUGUUAUGCCCUUUUCGCCGGCCAGGUGGGAAGGGCUUUUGUUUUGCACA